rnacentral:ncRNA from 1 species
ACUAUUGAAAAAGCGCUGGUGCUUAGCUAGAUGCUAAGCAGACGAGGAAGAGGUUUAUCGAGCAGUCAGCGGAUACCUCUCGGCAACUGCGGCCGUAAGCUAAGCCGACAAAGCCACAGGGCGACCUGCGGGACAAAACGGCGGCAGGCAGAC